rnacentral:lncRNA from 1 species
AAAUAGAUCAGAAUAAAUUAAACUGUGACUCUGAAGAAGGGGAAAAUUAAAGGGUGCAUAUGCGCGUUGAUCGCUGAUGGGCAGAUUUUAGGCUGCUAAUGGAAAGGCACAAGAGAAACAGAGCAUAACAAGAUUUUGCAGCCAAAAGUGUCUCUGAAAUUGCAUAUACAUGCAUCGAUUAAAAGCUCAUGCCUUUGAGGGAUAUUGCAUAAUGCAUCAAAAGCUCAAAACUCAUAAUUAUUACCUCUUUGCUCUGGGUAAUGGCGCUGCCUGCAAGCCGUGUCUUCCUAAGCUUAUCGAUGUAUGAAUAGUCCUAUCGCAGACAUGGUGUGUACAUAAUCAUCAGAUGCUUAGUAACAUGCUUGGGAGAAGAGAGAAGGUUAAGUGUCACGACAGCUUUAAACGGAAACAAAUCAAAUGGAUGACUCCACACAACAAUGAACAAUAAUCAACAUCAUCUUUUGGCAAUUGAGUAGAAGAUGCAAUAUAACUCAUCCAAUUCAUUAGUCAUCUAUAUAUGUUGAGAUGUAUAUUCUUCUAUAUUGAUAUAUAUUUUGAGAUAUAUAUACAGGCAUACAUACAGCUUCAAACAGAAGAUCAAUUGUAACCGGAGGGAAAGGCCCCGUAAAAUUUUUAUUUCAGGAAAGCAAAUUAAGUUGCAAUAAUAUGCAAAGCUGUGCAGGGGUAGGCAAGCACUAUCCUCAUAACUGUGUGAUAGUAACAAUUAUUCUUUGUUUCUACUUGGAUGGAUGUAGGUCAGAAUUAUUAUCUGAAUUCUGAAGGCAAUGCCAUGUGUGUUUUUUUAAACACGUGUGCUACUAUUCUUUUAGUCCUGUUUUGCGAUACAUAUGUAUGUCUGCACUUCAUCUAGUACUGUACUGUCUCGUUGUUAAAUCAUCUUGCGGUUCUGGUGUCAUCGGGGAUGAUAUUAAUGAUACCUCAAGCAUCUUGGCAACAUUGUUCAAACUAUCUCUGAGCAUAUAUCUUUGACCUAAUAAUAAAAUAACCUGGUUUUAGAUAUUUUGCACAUCCGAACGAAUGUCACAUCGUCCAAAUUAAGUUUGAAAGGCAACACUGCUGCAGCUAUUCUGACAACGAAUUAAAUUCCCCAAGUUCAUUUUACGAAUAACAUGCUAAAUUUCUCUAGUUUCCGAUCGUAUUAACUACAUACAGAUCGGUUUGAUUUAUGGUUGAGAGAUUUUUUUUUUUCGAAAACCUAUGAGAGAUUACAUAUUUACAUUAUACAGAGAGAAUUUAAAGCAGGAGAAGAAUACAUACCUCCUCGACGCUCCCAUCCUUAAUGUCAGCGUUGAAGGACUCGUC